AUGUUGUACAAAAGUAGAGAAGGUCAGCACACCCCCCCCUGACAAGAACGGAAGAGACCCCUAUGGCCCCCACAACACGCACAUGAGCAAGGCACCACCACUCAUCUCACAGCAUGACAUCACCAUUUUCC